CCAAAGCACUGCCUCCCUACCAGGAGGCAAGAUGAGUGCUGGAGGCACUUCUGAGGGACACAGCUCUCGGGACAGCCAGCAGUGCUGAAGGGGGACAUGGGGCACAUGGGAACUGCAGGCCACCUGCCUCUGAGACCCAAGAAGGAGAGACCUUGCUGACUGAAGCAGUUUCUCUGCUGAGAUGCGCUAUUGGCAUAGAGCUGGCAAAAUGAUACUAAAUUAGAAUAGAAAGCUUAGAAGCUACCUUCACUUAAAUACAAAAUCAUACAUGUAGUUCACUCAUAGUGGAAGAGCAAAUAAACAAAAAAUAAAAAUGUACGUAACAGCAA